UACGUAGGGGGCAAGCGUUGUCCGGAUUUAUUGGGCGUAAAGAGCGUGUAGGCGGCCGUACAGGUCAGCUGUGAAAACUCGAGGCUCAACCUCGAGACGUCGGUUGAAACCGUACGGCUAGAGUCCGGAAGAGGAGAGUGGAAUUCCCGGUGUAGCGGGGAAAUGCGCAGAUAUCGGGAAGAACACCCGUGGCGAAGGCGGCUCUCUGGGACGGUACUGACGCUGAGACGCGAAAGCGUGGGGAGCGAACAGG
rnacentral:rRNA from 1 species